UACGUAGGGGGGCUAGCGUUGUCCGGAAUCAUUGGGCGUAAAGCGCGUGUAGGCGGUCCGGUAAGUCCGCUGUGAAAGUCGGGGGGCUCAACCCUCGAAUGCCGGUGGAUACUGUCGGGCUAGAGUGCGGAAGAGGCGAGUGGAAUUCCGUGGUGUAGCGGUGAAAUGCGCAGAUAUCAGGAGGAACACCAAUUGCGAAGGCAGCUCGCUGGGACGUAACUGACGCUGAGACGCGAAAGCGUGGGGAGCAAACAGG
rnacentral:rRNA from 1 species